GAUGAAGGAACGCAGCGAAAUGCGAUACGUAAUGUGAAUUGCAGAAUUCAGUGAAUCAUCGAAUCUUUGAACGCAUAUUGCGCUCUCUGGUAUUCCGGAGAGCAUGCUUGUUUGAGUAUCAGUAAACACCUCAACUUCCAUAUCUUUUUUGAAAUGGGAGUUGGACUUGAGUGAUCCCAACGCUUUUCCUCACCGAAAAGUGGCGGGUUACUUGAAAUGCAGGUGCAGCUGGACUUUUCUCUGAGCUAUAAGCAUGUCUAUUUAGUCUGCCUAAAAAACAGAUUAUUACCUUUGCUGCAGCUAACAUAAAGGAGAUUAGUUCUUGUGCUGACUGAUGCAGGAUUCACAAAGACGGCUUCGGCCGACUUUGUAAACUCGAUCUCAAAUCAAGUAAGACUACCCGCUGAACUUAAGCAUAUCAAUAAGCGGAGGA
rnacentral:misc_RNA from 1 species